CUAAUAAUAAGUCUUUAAACUGACACAUGUGGAGUGUCAGGCUGGUUCUUACUCACAAUCCUCUGGCAAACGGCUCAAGCUACUCCAAACGAUGACUCCCACUGAGGCAGUGUUCCCAGCCGAUGUUUAAAUAUGUCUAGCCAGCUGUUGCGAUUCCUCUUCUGCUCUCCCCUGAUUUCUUGAACUUUGGCCCUUUGGAACCAAGCCAUGAACAGGCCAGGUCCUCUGCUACUCCCAACACAGCUGCUGCUCCUCUUUGGAUGCUUGGAGUCAUGCAGAACAUUUGAAUUGAUUCUGAUACCUCAGAAUGAUGACACCUCCACCUUGUUCCAGAGUGCGUGGAGGUGUUCAGAGGGAUCCAAAAUGUUACAGCAACACGUGUGCUGCGUUCCCUUGAUGGUUUUUAGGUAACUUUGAUGGAGACGAUUUAUGGCAGAAUUAAAGGGCAGAUUUUUUUUAUCAAAAAA